rnacentral:misc_RNA from 1 species
GAUGAAGAACGCAUCGAAAUGCGAUAAGUAAUGUGAAUUGCAGAAUUCCGUGAAUCAUCGAAUCUUUGAACGCACAUUGCGCCCGCCAGUAUUCUGGCGGGCAUGCCUGUUCGAGCGUCAUUUCAACCCUCAAGCCCAGCUUGGUGUUGGGGAUCGGCACAGGCGCCCUCGGGCGCCCGCCGUCCCCUAAAUCUAGUGGCGGUCCCGCUGCAGCCUCCUCUGCGUAGUAGUUUUCUCCUCGCAAGGGCAGCUCGGUGGCGACCUCGCCGUAAAACCCCCAACUUCUGAAAGGUUGACCUCGAAUCAGGUAGGAAUACCCGCUGAACUUAAGCAUAUCAAUAAGCGGAGGA